GACGAACGCUGGCGGCGUGCCUAAUACAUGCAAGUAGAACGCUGAAGGAGGAGCUUGCUCUUCUGGAUGAGUUGCGAACGGGUGAGUAACGCGUAGGUAACCUGCCUGGUAGCGGGGGGUAACUAUUGGAAACGAUAGCUAAUACCGCAUAACAGUAGAUGUUGCAUGACAUUUACUUAAAAGGUGCAAUUGCAUCACUACCAGAUGGACCUGCGUUGUAUUAGCUAGUUGGUGGGGUAACGGCUCACCAAGGCGACGAUACAUAGCCGACCUGAGAGGGUGAUCGGCCACACUGGGACUGAGACACGGCCCAGACUCCUACGGGAGGCAGCAGUAGGGAAUCUUCGGCAAUGGACGGAAGUCUGACCGAGCAACGCCGCGUGAGUGAAGAAGGUUUUCGGAUCGUAAAGCUCUGUUGUAAGAGAAGAACGAGCGUGAGAGUGGAAAGUUCACACUGUGACGGUAUCUUACCAGAAAGGGACGGCUAACUACGUG
rnacentral:rRNA from 1 species